rnacentral:rRNA from 1 species
AGAGUUUGAUCCUGGCUCAGGAUGAACGCUAGCGGCAGGCUUAAUACAUGCAAGUCGUGGGGCAGCACAGGUAGCAAUACUGGGUGGCGACCGGCAAACGGGUGCGGAACACGUACGCAACCUUCCUUUAAGCGGGGAAUGGCCCAGGGAAACUUGGAUUAAUACCCCAUAAUACAAUUGGGUGGCAUCACCUGAUUUUUAAAGCUCCGGCACUUAAAGAUGGGCGUGCGGCUGAUUAGGUAGUUGGCGGGGUAACGGCCCACCAAGCCGACGAUCAGUAACUGGUGUGAGAGCACGACCAGUCACACGGGCACUGAGACACGGGCCCGACUCCUACGGGAGGCAGCAGUAAGGAAUAUUGGUCAAUGGACGCAAGUCCGAACCAGCCAUGCCGCGUGGAGGAUGAAGGCCCUCUGGGUUGUAAACUUCUUUUAUUGGGGAAGAAACCGGACUUUUCUAAGACCGUUGACGGUACCCAUUGAAUAAGCACCGGCUAACUCCGUGCCAGCAGCCGCGGUAAU